rnacentral:rRNA from 1 species
ACCGCCCGUCACACCAUGGGAGUUGGCUUUACCUGAAGCCGGUGCGCUAACCCGCAAGGGAGGCAGCCGACCACGGUGGAAUCAGCGACUGGGGUG